UACACUCCUACGGGAGGCAGCAGUGGGGAAUUUUGGACAAUGGGCGAAAGCCUGAUCCAGCAAUGCCGCGUGAGUGAAGAAGGCCUUCGGGUUGUAAAGCUCUUUUGUCAGGGAAGAAACGGUGAAAGCUAAUAUCUUUUGCUAAUGACGGUACCUGAAGAAUAAGCACCGGCUAACUACGUGCCAGCAGCCGCGGUAAUACGUAGGGUGCAAGCGUUAAUCGGAAUUACUGGGCGUAAAGCGUGCGCAGGCGGUUUUGUAAGUCUGAUGUGAAAUCCCCGGGCUCAACCUGGGAAUUGCAUUGGAGACUGCAAGGCUAGAAUCUGACAGAGGGGGGUAGAAUUCCACGUGUAGCAGUGAAAUGCGUAGAUAUGUGGAGGAACACCGAUGGCGAAGGCAGCCCCCUGGGUCGAGAUUGACGCUCAUGCACGAAAGCGUGGGGAGCAAACAGGAUUAGAUACCCCGGUAGUCCCA
rnacentral:rRNA from 1 species